AGUGAACGCUGGCGGUAGGCCUAACACAUGCAAGUCGAACGGCAGCACAGUAAGAGCUUGCUCUUACGGGUGGCGAGUGGCGGACGGGUGAGGAAUACAUCGGACUCUACUUUUUCGUGGGGGAUAACGUAGGGAAACUUACGCUAAUACCGCAUACGACCUACGGGUGAAAGCAGGGGAUCUUCGGACCUUGCGCGAUUGAAUGAGCCGAUGUCGGAUUAGCUAGUUGGCGGGGUAAAGGCCCACCAAGGCGACGAUCCGUAGCUGGUCUGAGAGGAUGAUCAGCCACACUGGAACUGAGACACGGUCCAGACUCCUACGGGAGGCAGCAGUGGGGAAUAUUGGACAAUGGGCGCAAGCCUGAUCCAGCCAUACCGCGUGUGUGAAGAAGGCCUUCGGGUUGUAAAGCCCUUUUGUUGGGAAAGAAAAGCAGCAGGUUAAUACCCCGCUGUUCUGACGGUACCCAAAGAAUAAGCACCGGCUAACUUCGUG
rnacentral:rRNA from 1 species